GGUUCGGUGGUCUAGGGGUACGAUUCUCGCUUCGGGUUCGAGAGGUCCCGGGUUCAGAUCCCGGCCGAACCC
rnacentral:tRNA from 1 species